AACAUAGCCACUAGACGAUAUUAUGUGGUUCUACCUGCCCAAUGUUAAUAUGAAUGGCCGCGGUACUCUGACCGUGCUAAGGUAGCGUAAUCAGUUGAUCUUUAAAUGAGGUCAGGAAUGAAUGGAUGAACUGGGUCUAGCUGUCUCUCUUUUACUAUUUUGAAUUUACUAUCUAAGUGAAAAAGCUUAGUUUUUAAAAAGGGACGAGAAGACCCUUAGAAUUUUUAUAAAAGGAUUAACUAAUUAAUCUUACGUUUUUAUUGGGGCGAUACAGAAAUAAUUAAAACUUUCUUUCAAAACAAGCCGAUAUCUAUAAGCAAGGAUAAAUUACCUGAGGGAUAACAGCAUAAUUCUAUAACUGAGUUUGUGACCUCGAUGUUGGACUAGGAAACUAACAGGCUAGCCGUUUGUUAUGUUAGGUUCUGUUCGAACUUUUAUUCCUACGUGA
rnacentral:rRNA from 1 species